CCUAUCUGUCGUGGGCGCAGGAAAUUUGAGAGGAGCUGUCCUUAGUACGAGAGGACCGGGAUGGACGCACCGCUGGUGCACCAGUUGUUCCGCCAGGAGCACAGCUGGGUAGCUAUGUGCGGUCGGGAUAAGCGCUGAAAGCAUCUAAGCGUGAAGCCCCCCUCAAGAUGAGAUUUCCCACAGCAUAAGCUGGUAAGACCCCUUAAAGAUGAUGAGGUAGAUAGGUUCGGGGUGGAAGCGUGGCAACACGCGGAGCUGACGAAUACUAAUCGGUCGAGGGCUUAACCA
rnacentral:rRNA from 1 species